GAAAUGCGAUAAGUAAUGUGAAUUGCAGAAUUCAGUGAAUCAUCGAAUCUUUGAACGCACCUUGCGCUCCUUGGUAUUCCUUGGAGCAUGCCUGUUUGAGUAUCAUGAAAUCUUCAAAGUAAAUCUUUUGUUAACUCAAUUGGUUUCUACUUUGGCAUUGGAGGUCUUUGCAGCUUCACACCUGCUCCUCUUUGUUCAUUAGCUGGAUCUCAGUGUUAUGCUUGGUUCCACUCGGCGUGAUAAGUUAUCUAUCGCUGAGGACACUGUAAAAGGUGGCCAAGGUAAAUGCAGAUGAACCGCUUCUAAUAGUCCAUUGACUUGGACAAUACUUUUAUGAUCUGAUCUCAAAUCAGGUAGGACUACCUGCUGAACUUAAGC
rnacentral:misc_RNA from 1 species